rnacentral:lncRNA from 1 species
AGGUUUGAAAAAAUUAGUUUUUUUUUAAAAAAAUUAAAAGUUAUACGUUUAGUUUUUCAAAAAUUUUAAACAAUAUAUAUUAUAUUUUUAAUAUUUUAUGCAACGUAUAUUUCAUGUACACUUAGCUAGUAAAUCUAAAUUAGAAAUUAAACUAAAGAAUUAGUUAUAACUUGAGAAUAUCGGGUAGCACAAAAAACCUUUCCAAUUGUCGGAAAAAUGAUUGUUUCGGUGAGUAGGAUGACGAUGAAAUGCUGGCAAAAGUUACAAUGAACAUGUGCUAGUGAACGCGACAAUGAUCAGUGAAAGUGAUGAUGAUGAUGUUUUGCCGCCGGUGAGGACAACAGCGAUGUGUUGGAAGGACGAUGACUUACGCAAUUAAUAUGAAAGAUAAAAAUAUCAUGACAAUGCAAAUCUAUUAGCAUUUAAAAAUCUUAAAAAGUAAAACAAAGUGUACAAAAGACGAAUUAAGUAGAAAAUUAUAUUAUGACACAUUAAAAUGAAUUAGGUGGAGCCAAAAUAUCUUUCCAAUUGUAGCGAUGGCGAUCGUGGACGAUGAUAAGAAACAAAUAAAAUAUUACUAAAAUAAUAUAUUUGAGAAAACGUAAAGUAAAAAUAAAAAAGGUUAUGAUUUAUAUUUAUGAAACAUAUAGAUGGAGAUGAGAAAGUAUUAGAAAAAAGAUAUGAUAACUAUUAUGAUGAGAUAAAAUUGGAAAAGUGAGGAAAAUUUUAUAUGUGAGGGUAUUAAGAUUUUAUCUAUAUUAUGCGUAGAUGGCGGGCGGGUAUACACGAUAGAAAUAUUAAAUAUUUUACUAUAUUUUUCGAUUUCUAAUAAAUUGAAAAUUUGAAUAUACAUAUUUUAAAGUAAAAAUAUUAAAAUGUUAAUAAUAUUUAAUUUUAAAAAUUAAAAUUUAAUUCGAUCCACUUUAAGAUUUAAAUUUUAAAAUUUUUAAAAUUUUUUAAAAAUUUUAGUAAAAAAAGAUAGAAACAUUUUUCAGAAAGAAUUUUAUGUUUAAUUCAAAACUCAAAUUUUAAUUUUGAUCCACUUUCAGAUUUAAAUUCAAAUUCAGAUAUUAUAUGUUUCUGACAAAUUCAAAAUUUAAUGGAUUAUUUGAGAUGAAUGGUUCAAAAUUUCUGGACAUGAAAAAAUUAAUUAAAAAGAUAAAGACAUUUUCAUAAUAAAAUUUAUGUUUAAUUUAAAAUUUAAAAUUUAAUUUUGAUCCAUUUUAAUAUUUAAAUUCAAAUGCGAGGAUAUGUAUAAUUCAAAAUUAUGAUAGGUUGAGAGAAUUUUUAAGAAUGAGAAAAGAUUAAAAUUUUGAUAAGAUAUUUGAGAAACAUGUAGAUAUUCUGUGGAUUAAUGAGAUAUUUGAGAAAUUCACAAAUAUUAUGUUGAGAAAAAUUGGCGGAUAUUAUGUAUGAGAAGGAAAAUAUUUAAGAAACGCGUAGAUAAUGUAAGGACUGAGAUUUUUACAGUGCAAUUAAACUCUCUGUUGAUGAUGUUUAUGUGUGUAAAUUAAUUACAUAAGCACUCGUCAAGUUUCAGGAGAAACUGAGCUAAAACGGAGAAGUUACGCGAUUAUUAGUUUUCACUUAAGUGAAUAGUAACUCCGGUUUUUCGGUGAAGCCACGGAGUAGAGCUGGCUUUCGGCGCGUAUCGGACUCCGUUCAUAGCGAUCCAAUAGCUCGUUUUGAAUGGUUCAGCUAUUCUGGAACCAAUGGCACUGACGGAUUUUAGAUCUGAUGCACGAUUUUCGAGAAAAUCUGAAAAUACAUGUUUCUUAUGUAAUUGUGCACCUUUUUGGCCUUUUGGAGAGAGAUUGGAUUUCGUCGUGAAUCGGAGAUCAAAUCUGACGAAACGAAAUGCUAGAUUCGAUGCCUCGACGUGCUGAACGCGUUGGCCUGAUCCGAUCAGAAAUCCGAUGGACGGAUCUUUGGGAAUUGCAAUAAGUUCGCUAAGGGGUCGAGAGUGGAAAAUCGGGAAAUUCGCAAAAGUCGUAAUAUUUUAUGUACCGAAUCACGCGAGAUCGAUUGUGGAGGUGCAAAAGCGCGAGAGUUACCCAUUGUGAGGGACUAGGGUUGAAAUUUGUAAUUCAGGUGGACUUUUGUGCAAUUUGCACAUUGCAUACAAUGUGCAUCUAGGGUUCUUUUGCAAGGAACCCUAGAUCUAGCCGACCUAGUUCCCCAACCGUGCCCUAGAUAGCUCCAGUAGGUCCCUGCCCUACCUACGCUCGUGCCCAGACCUCCGGCGAGCAACUCCGGCCGCCGGAAAACUCAUGGUCAUCUUCCUUUCCACCCUCUCGGCCUGAGUACACAGGGAAACGCGCGAAGCCCGAGGAUCCUUCACCCUGUGGCAGAGAGUUACCUCCGGCNAUAUAUAUAUAUAUAUAUAUAUAUAUAUAUAUAUAUAUUUAUAAAAAAUUUUCUGUAAUUGAAUCUUAUAUUAAUUGUAUAAAUAUUUUAUCCUCGAGAGUCCAACUACUAUAUUCUUAUGAGUACGAUCGCCCUCGUACUCAUAAGCCGUUUUUGAUGAUAGAGCUUUCGAAUUGACAAUCCAUACCGUUAAAUAUUAUCUAGAGCAUUUAAAAUUUUUAAAAAUCAAAUUUCAUAAUUUUUCGACAUCAUUUACCUUACGAUCAAAAUGUCACAAAAUUGACAAUUUUUAACGGCCGGUAUGAGAUAUUUAUUAGUUUAACGGUGUAAAAGAAUUAGAAUAGAUUGAAUUUUUGAUAAAAAUUUCUAUUCCGUACCUAAAUAAAGAUCAAUAACUCCGAUCUUAAAUUGAAGGAUCCGAUCAUCUAUUUUUAGAAUGUCGUUCGAUUUUGACCGUUUAUUUUAUGCCUAUUUGAUAGACUCUUAAAAGUUUCAAAUAGUUUAGAUCAUAUUUAACAAAGUGGAUCACCGAAAACUCUAUCAUCAAAAAUAAUUUAUGAGUACGAAAAAUUUUAUACUCAUAAGAGUAUCCUGAUACCAAAAAAAGCCUUAGAAAUAUACGUACACGGCCACCAAAAAAAAAUUUCAUAUACAAGCCCUGCUUCAGAUCACGCAUCUAAAGUCAACGUCCCACGUGAUGCCACGUGGCCACGAGAUGCCCGCCUACGGUGUUGGAUCGUUAAAAUAACGCACGUGCUCCCCACGUGGGUGCAUUUAUAUACACUAAUUUAAUACUAUAUAUAAAAAUAUAUACGUAUUUUGAAUUUGAAUAUUUUCACUAUGCACAAUAAAUAGCAUUUUUAAUACCUCUUUUUCUUUACAUUUUUUUAUUAAAUAUUUUUUUUUGCGAUUGAAUAUUUUCAGAUUAUUUCAAUAUUAUUUACUAAUAUGUAGUUGUAUUAUUUUCUUUUUUGAUAACUAUGUAGGAUCUAUAUCAACAAACUUAUUUGACUCAAAAGAAUCCUAUGUCUUAUUAUAUAAUUUAAUGGUCGUUUCACAUCAUUUCAGGCUUGUUUGUUUCACCGAAGAUAAAGCUCAGAUUGGGAUCGAUUUUCAAAUAAACUAGAGUUCAUGCUAAAAUUUACUUUUCUUUUGAUUUUUGUUUGCGUAGCUGUAGAAAUGAAGUUUUAAAAGCCGGAGGUAUGAGAGAUAAAUUAAAAUUUUAUUAUUUUUUUCACACUUUUCUUUAGUAACUGGCUUUCAUCUUAUUUGAGAUGGGUCGAAGUCAAUUACGCUAUUUUGUGAAGUUUGAGUUUCAACUCAAAAUAAAUCUAGUUACGAUGAAAUACCAAACAACAAAAAUGAACAUUUAGGGUUGAAUAAAACCAUUUUACCUCUCUGUUGGGUGGGAUCCUAAUGGUCAAAAUUAAGGCAUAAUUUAAAUAUUAAAAAAUAAAACAAGGAGUUAAGAUUGAAACAACGAGAUUAAAACAGUAAAAAUUGGAGGUAUGAAAGAUGAAUUAAGAUUUUAUUAUUUUUUCUUUUUUUUUUGUGUAAUUUACUUUGGUUAGAUCUGAAAUGGACUGAAAUCAAUUACACCAUUUUCUGGAGUUUGAGUUUCGACCCAAGAUAAAUCUAGUGACGAUGAAAUACCAAAUAACAAAAAUGAACAUUUAGGAAAAUUAUUUCAUCUCUCUAAUGCGUGGGAUUCUAAUGGUCAAAAUUAAAACGCAAUUUAAAUAUUAAAAAAUUAAAGUAAGGAAUUAAGGUUGAAACAAUAAGAUUAAAACAGUAAAAAUUGGAGGUACCAAAGAUGAAUUAAGAUUUUUUUUAUUUUUUAUUUUUUGUAGUAACUAGCUUUGGUCAGAUCUGAAAUGGGCUGAAGUCAAUUACGCUAUUUUCUAGAGUUUGAGUUUUGACUCAAGAUAUUUCUAGUGUCGAUGAACAAAACUAAAGGUAAAUCUAGUGUCGAUGAAAUACCAAACAACGAAAGUGAAUAUUUAUGGUCGAAAACUAUUUCAUCUCUCUGAUGUGUGGGAUUCUAAUGGUCAAAAUUAAAACACAAUUUAAAUAUUAAAAAAUUAAAGUAAGGAGUUAAGGUUGAAACAACAAGAUUAAAACAGUAAAAACUGGAGGUAUUAUUGAUGAAUUAAGAUUUUAUUAUUUUUUUCUUUUUUUUCGUAAUUGACUUUGAUCAGAUCUAAAAUGGGCUGAAAUCAAUUACGCUAUUUUCUGAAGUUUGAAUUUCGACUCAAAGUAAAUCUAGUUAAGGUGAAACAUCAAACAACAAAAGUGAACAUUUAGGGUCGAAAAUUAUUUCAUCUCUCUAAUGAGUGGGAUUCUAAUGGUCACAAUUAAAACACAAUUUAAAUAUUAAAAAAUUAAAGUAAGGAGUUAAGAUUGAAACAACAAGAUUAAAAUAGUAAAAACUGGAGGUGUGGAAGAUGAAUUAAGAUUUUUGUUAUCUUUUCUCUUUUUUUUCAUAAUUGGCUUUGGUGAGAUCUGAAUAGGCUGAAGUUAAUUACGCUAUUUUCUGGAGUUUGAGCUUCAACUCAAGAUAAAUCUAGUGACAAUGAAAUACCAAAUUAAGGGAUAAUUUAAAUAUUAAAAAAAUGAGUAGGAUCCCACUGGUCAAAAUUAAGGGAUAAUUUAAAUAUUAAAAAAAAUUAAAGCAAGGACUAGAUUAAAACAGUAAAACAAGAGAUGAAUUAAAAUUUUAUAUUUUUUUUUCAUUUUUUUCAGUUAGAUCUAAGAUGGACUGAAGUUAAUUACGCUAUUGAUGAGUCAAAUCCUAAUGGUCAAAAAAUUAAGAUAUAAUUUUAAAAAAAUUUAAAAAAUGAAAAAAAAUAAAACAGGGAGUUAAGAUUAAGAGAAGAAGAUUAAAACAAAAGGUGAAACAAACCAACAUAAUAAAACAAAAUAAAAGCUAAGUGUAAAUAUUAAAAUAGUUUUUUUUAAAAAAAUAGAAUUAAAAAAAAAAAAAAAAAAUCUGUGGAAUGCUGUGCUUUGGAAGCAUCGGAUUCCGGCAUCCAGCUGGGGUGGGGUGGAAACUGGCAAGGCCGGCAGCUCAACGUGCAAACCCAAGCUGUAACGUGGGUCCCACACAGCGAAGCACACGUACUGUAUAAGAAAUAAUAUAUAACUAUAAAUUUCAUUUUCAAAAUCAUAGGAGUUUAAAAAUAUUUAAAUUAAAAAAAAAUCAAUAAGGGCAUUUUGAUCGACCAGGGAAUAUAUUGUAUAUUUCUGAAGUUCUCAAGGAUCGAUGUAUUUUAAAUAUUAUUCCUAAAUAUAAAUAAAUAAAUAUAUAUAUAUAUAUAUAAUAUAUUUUUUUUUUUUUGUUUGAACCAAAUCGGAUUGUUGGGUGCCACCUUGAACAGGCUCAAAUCCUCCAAAUAAUUAUAUAAUUUUUUUUUCUGUUUGUACCUGAACCGAACCUGAUCAAUUUGCUUUAUUGGAUCGAAUCAAUUAUUCUAUAUAUUUUCAUCUUUGAAUUAGAUUUUUUUUUUAAUUAUCUAAACCAAACCAAUAAUGCUGAACUGGAUCAAACUUCAUUAGAUCGAACCAAACCAAUUGCUCUACAUAUUUCUAUCUUUGAACCAGAUUUUUUUUUUAAUUUUUCUGAACCGAAUUAGUAAUUAUUGAAUAAGUGCUCCAUCCUGAACUAGCUCAAGUUCUCUUUUUUUUUUUGGCUUGAACAGAACCAAAUUUCUUUUCUUUACUUGAAUCGAACCGGUGCCCUCUUUCUUGCUUGAACCGAGCUCGGUCAAAUUUUUUGCCCUUUUUCACUUCUCUUUGUUUUUAUAGAAAUUUUCAUUAAGGACUUUUUUUAGAAAAAAAAAAUUUAACUGAUAUUUGUAUUAAUUUAUUAUUAAUAUUGAUAUAAAUAUAUAUGAUGAUAAAGUAUAUUUAGCAAAUACGUAAUAUCUUCAUUUAUUUUUAAACUAUUGACUUAUACAUACAUAUUGCCUACACAUUUAAAUAAUUUAUAAUCAAUAAUAUAUAAAUUACUUAAAAAUUUAUUUAAAAAAUAUAUCAUUAAUAUUUUUUAUUUUUUUUUAAAUUUUUUGCUCGUCGCAUUGUACGCGGUAUUACACUAGUAGUGCAUGAAAUGUGCAAGUGACCCUAAACAAUUUACCCCUCUAUAAAUACUCUUCUUGCUCUCUCUCUCUCUCUCUCUCUCUAAGGCCUCUCUCUCUUUAUAAGUUCUCUCUCUCUCUAUAAGUUCUCUCUCUCUUUCUCUCUCUUACUCUAGUAAAUCAUAUAUAGCAAUUAAUUGUGGUUUCAAAAGGAUAAACAUAUAUAUAUAAGAUCAAACUAAAUGGCAAGUGAGGGCACACUCACCUGUGUAGAGAUCCUACUUGCAAUCUUUCUCCCACCCCUUGGAGUUUUCCUUAAGUAUGAAUGCAAGGUAUGUAUAUUUAUAUGUGCGUGUGUGUGUAUAUAUAUAUAUGUAUACAUACAAAUUAAGUAAUAUUUACAUGUAAUUUUCUUAUAUAGAUCGAUAGUGUGCGUGAUAUAUGCAUGAUUCAUCUGAUCUUCACCAUGUACAUGAUGGACAUGAGCGAAAAUAUUAAUUCACAUGAUCUUUUCUACGAAAGUUAACACUUAAUUCGUCCUUAAAACUUUCACUUAUGUUAAAGAAACUUGACUUUUCCUGUAAAAAUUUAGAGACCAAGUUAUAUAGAUCCUAAUUAAUUUAUCAAUUUUUAUUGAAUAUAAGACCCACAAUAAUUAAUUAGUUUAAUCUUUGCUUUUGCAGAUUUAUUUUUUUUUUUCCCCCAAAAAAUUGCAAUAUUCUCACUCAUAUAUAAAUUUAUUGACAUAUGAUUAUUAUUAACUCUUAUUUUUAUUUUUUUGCUCUAUUUUUUUUUUCAAAAAAAAUAUUUAUAGGUUGAGUUCUGGAUCUGCUUGUUGCUGACCUUCCUCAUGUUCUUACCUGGAAUGAUCUAUGCCAUUUGGGUCAUCACCAAGUAAUUAAAUUUACUUUUUUUUUUUUUGAAUUUGGUCUUAUAUAUUAAUUAGUUGUAGAAAAUAAAGAGAUAAUUAUUUAAUUAAGCUGUUUAUUUCUUUUUGCAGGAAAUAGUUAUAUAUGGUGAUGGUGAAAAUAUAUAUAUAUAUAUAGGUUGCAUGGUGUUUGCACUAUAAAGCUUGUAAUUUAAUAAGUGGUUUUGUAUGACUUUAAUUUAUUUAUAUUUCUUAGGUUAUUAAUGUGUGGAGAGGUUAACUAAUUUUAUUCUGUGUGGAUUUAUAUGUAUCAUUAUUCAUGGACUUAGUUUUAAUUUCCAUGCAUGGUUUUUUUUUUUUAAUUAGUUGAUGAAUAAAUAAGUACUCCUUUUUUUUUAAGUUAAUUUGUUGUAGUUCAUAUUUGAAGCUCCUCUCUUGUUUGAGAAGUUAACGGUGAUGAUCAUAACUCUUGAUUAAUUAAUUAAUUAAUUAUGAAGCACAAAAUCAAAAUUAAUAAGCCCUAGAGUAAUUAAAUUCCAAAAGGACUUUACUUUUUAAUUUGCAAAAUUAAGAAAUAUCAUUUAUUAUGGCAGCUAUUAUUUUCUAUUAUUAAAGAAGAGUAAUUAAACCUAAAUUUUUAGUUUAAGUUAUCAAUUUUGACGUCCACGUCUUAGAUCUAUUAAAAUAUCUCGAGUUUACGUAUGAGAAAAAUUAUUGAAUAUUAAAAAAAAAAGAUUAAUUAAUUGCGCAUGUUUUCCUAUAAAGCAAUAAAAUUUGUAUAUUAAUUUCUAUAAAAUUUUAUGUAUAUUCCUAUAUAAAGUUUUAGUUAUCAAAUACAUCUCUUUAAAAUUAGAUAAUUUGACAGUGUGACCUUCUCCGCUAACUGAAGGUUAAAGUUGACAUUUUUUCCUUUACAGCAAAUAAAUUAAAUAACGAUUUUACCCUAUUAUCUUUUUAAUUAUAUCUAAUAGUAUUUAUUAUUUUUAAGGGUAAACUUCAAAUACCAAUACUCCCGUGGUUUCGUAUUUUUUCACUUUAGUACUCUGUCGUUUAAAAUGUAUCAAUUUAGUAUCAUGUGAUUUUAUUUUUCUAUUUUCGUCACCUUCUCCGUUAUCAAAUAUUUAUUUUAGUAUCUUUUAGUUUUAACUUUGUCACUAAAGUAAUGAAAAAAUAUAAUGAGAAGGAUAAUGAAAAGAAAAAAUUAAAUAACAGAGUAUUAAAUUAAUGUAUUUUGAAUCACAUGAUACUAAAAUAAAAAUAUAUAUAACUGUAGAGAUGAUACUUGAAGUUUUUUUUUUACUUUAAAAUAGGAUGGUGUUCAACUUGGAGAGUAUCUAUGAUUGAACAAAACCCUAUAAUAUAUAAGUGGGGACAAAACAGUCCCUAUCAUGAAACUGUCUCAUCCAGCUGCGUCCGCAAACGAUGGACGGAUGUGAUGGUCCCACGUCACACAGAAUCGUCCUACCAAAUUUCUUCUUUUUUUUUUUCCAUAUAUGCCACGUUAUUCACUAGCUAUUAAGAUCCAUCCAGCAUAGGAAAAAAGCUUCGCCGGAGAGUUUCCUAUGUGCAAUAAUAUUCUGCAUUCAAUAAUAGGUUGAAUAUUUUUUAUUUCUCAAAUUUUUUAAAAUAAUUGAAUAUUAGAUAAAAAAAUUAUGAAGGUUAAAUAAAGAUGAAAGUGACAUGAGCCCUACGAUUCGAAUCCUAGUUGAUUCAAAUUUUCAGCUAAGUUUAUUUCUUAAUGAAAUAAAACGAAGCGGAUAGUGGCGUGCUACCUAUCUCUCUUAAAAAAAAAAAAAAAAAAGUGACACGAGGCGACGAAUUAUGACUCUUAGGGCUUGUUUGAUUCAUCCAUUUUGGGUAUGGAAUGGAAAUCAGUUUGAUCAAAUUCGGUUAAUUUUGUUUGGUUCGCAUGAAUCGGUUUGGGAUUCCUACUCCGGACUGGAAUGGGAAUGGCUCAUUAGCCUUCAACUUGAUUCCGGUCUUCUAGCCCGGAUUGAGAUUUCAUCCAGAAGCCCACUAAGUUCUCGAAGCUCAUGUGACCAGCUCACCCUCCUUCUCUUCACCCCUUUCUCAUCAAAAAAAAAAAAAAAAAACCUAUCAUCUCUCAAAACCCUAGCCCUAACCCACAUCAAUAAAAAAUUUUAAAAAUAAAUUUGAUAUUUUUUUUGAAAAACUUAUUAGAGAAUAGUAUGAUAUUUUUCAUAAAUUUUAAAUAAUAUAAAUUUAUAUUUGAGAGUAAAAUUAGUAUUAUAGUAUCCUAUAAUUUUUUUAGUUUAUACGAAUCAAACAAUAAAAUGUGAAUAACUCAUUCCAAUUCCCAAUCCACAAAUAAACCAAACGUCUUGGGGGAGUGGGCCAUUUCAAUUACCAUUCCAAUUCAUUCCCAUUCCAUAAUCCAUUCCACUUCCACCCUUGAACCAAACAAGCCCUUAAUGUGGUACUAGUGAAGUUAUCCGCGCAUUACAGUAGAAUAAUGCUAUAGAAGACAAAAUAUAAACAAAAUAAAAUUUUAAAAUUCUUUUACUUAAAUGAGACUUCAAUAAAUACAAAUAGAAGAUGUAUAACAAUGUAGGUAUAAAUGUAGCAAUAUUUAUAAUUUUAGUAAAUAAAUUACGUAUAACAAUAAUAAAAAAAGCAACAAAAGAGUUUCUAUCCCAUACAUACCUUGAUCGCAUUGUCGACAUUUGGGAGGCAAAUCCCGAUUUUUACGUUGCCUUCGCCGCUAAUAUCGAGCUCCUUCUUAGUAACGAUCAUGUAUAUCUCGUACAGAUCCUAACUCCCACAUUCACUACUUCUUCUCCCUCACUGACUCCAAAUUCAUCGUUGCUUCCUCCUGCCAUGAUCUCCGAAACCUUAAUUUUAAUCGACACACAACUUUAAAAAAUAGAAAAAGAAUUAAAAUAAGUCACAAAACAUGAACCCCUCCUUAUGCGCCAAGAAAAAAAAAAGAAAAAAAGAAAACAAUACAAGAAAAAAAAAAAGUAUAAAGAAAUCUUAUUUUACUCAUUUAUUUUUGUGAAAUUAAUUUAUUUAGAUGACUGACUAUGUAAACACAUUAAUUGAGGGGUGGGGGUUAGGAAGAUGAAGCAUUGGGUGGAGAUGGAAUCAUGUAAACAUAUUAAUUGAGAGAGGUAGGGAUUAGAAAAAUAAAGUAUUUGAUGGAGAUGGGACUAUAUAAACACAUUAAUUUAGAGGUGGGUUAGAAAGAUAAAGCAUUGGGUAGAGAUGAGAGUGGGAAGAUGGAAGACAAGGGUGAAAGAAGAUUCGGGAUGUGGUAAAAAUUUAGAAAAAAUAAUGUACAGGUAUAUAGAGAUAUAGAUAACGGCAAAUGAGAUCGAUCGAUGUACUCAUGAACCAGGUUUAUGGAAUUGUACGUUAUUUUCUGGUGCAUACAGCGCGUGCUUAGCUGUGUGGGCCCCACGUUAAACGUCCAAGCAUAUGCAUUUACGCCUUCUUUUUAUUUUUUUUAAGGGUAUAUUUUUAGUUUAUUAUUAUCUAAAUUUAGCUUAUUGCAUUGUUUUAUUUUGGAAAAACUUCAGACACCACCCCUGCAUAUUCAUACUUUUUCACUUUAGUAUCAUAUGUUUAAAAUGUAUCAAUUUAGUACCCUGUGAUUUCGUACUUUCUCACUUUAGUAUCUUGUGGUUUAAAGUGUAUCAAUUUAGUACCCUGUGGUUUUAUUUUUAUCUUUUCAUCAGCUCCUCUGUUAAUAUUUCGUUAAAUUAUAUACCAAAAACUCCAGAUACCCUAUCUAAGUUUAUUGAAUAUUUACCUCAGUAUCCUUUAAUUUUAACUUUGUCACUGAUUUUUUUGUUCUCUGUUAAAAUUUCGUUAAAUUAUAUACAAAAAAGUUCAGAUACCCUAUCUAGGUUUAUCGAAUAUUCACUUUAGUAUCCUUUAAUUUUAACUUUAUCACUGAUUUAACAAAAAAAAAAUAGUGAAAUGUAUAAUGAAAAAAGAAAAAUGAAACCACAAGGUACUAACUUGAUGCACUUUAAACCACUGGGUACUAAAGUGAGAAAGUGCGAAAUCAUAGGGACUAACUUGAUAUACUUUAAAUCACAGGAUGCUAAAGUGAGAAAGUGUGAAACCACAAGAGGGGUAUUUGAAGUUUACCCUUUCGUUUUACUUCUUAUUUUAAUCUACUUGUUUUGAACUUGCUUCUUGUGACAUGUAAUGUCGUGUACAGUUAGGAGUCUUUUGGUUUGAUGUAAGUAGAAAUACAGUGUAAUUGAAUAUGCAGCAGUUAUAGCUAUUUAUAUCACGUUUGGAUAAGUGCAGUUGAAAGUGCUGCAACUGUAAAUAAUUUCGAACAACAUAUUACAUUGGGAUUUAUUAGACUUGAUUUAAAAUCUGUAUGUUGUCUGAAUCUAUACUUGAUUUAACCUGAUUAAUUUAAGCUAUAUGUUUUUUUUAAAAAAUAACUAUAUAUAGUAAUUAAAAUCUACAUUCAUAUGUUUAAAGUAAAGGGUUAAUUCCAUACAGAUCCCUGCAAAUUUAGUGAAUUGCAAAUAUAUUCGUACAAAGUUUAAUUUUCAUAUACCGUCCCUACAAAUAUAGUCAUAAUGUUUUCAAAUAUAUCCGUAAUAUUUUUACCUCUCUUACAUUAUACCUACUCGUUUCAAUCAAAACCUUAAUAAUGAAAACUUUUCUUUCUCUUCCUGGUUAGUCAAUGGAAACCCGUAACUUGAAUUUCUCCAUUUCCAUUCAUCAACAAGGCGUGUUGCUUCGCCCAUAUCAAACUCGUAUUGUUUUUCCAUUCAUUUUUCAUUAUGAUUUUUUUCCUUUUUUUUUUUUUGCUCAAAAGAAAAGAUUUAGAAAAAAAAAAAAAGUGAGAAAAGAAGUUGCAACAAUGGGGAAUGGGUUAGAUUUUAAAAAGGAAGAAGAUGAGAAAAAAAGAUGAUCAUUGAAAAUUUUUUGAAGGAACAUUUCUGUACCAUUAUAGCUGUUGUCGUUUUUUGAGGGACAUAUUUAUGAUGACAAAAUUGUCAUUUCAUUUAUUUGCUAUUAAAAUAUAAACAGUUCUCUAUUAAUCCCAAAAUAAAGGUAACGUACUCAUAAAGACAUUUCAUUUUUUAUCAAUAUAAUUUAACUUUAUUAUUUAAAUUAUUACUCGAAUUUUUAUGUCCAAACCCAACCCAAAUUUGAAUCCGAACAAACUAUUUUUUUGGACCGGAUUUUCGAGCGAAAUUUUUAAUCCAGAUCCGAUUAUUUUUUGGGUCGGACCAGAUCGAUCAACCGGGUCGGAUCAUAUUUUUCCUCCUCUACACAUGAGUGGGUAUGUAAACUUAGGGGCCGCGUGGUUGAAUAUAAUUGAAAAAAAAGUAUAAUAAGAAAUGUUUACGAUUCAAAAUACAGUAACAAAUAUAAUUACAUGUAUCUUUUAUUUAGUUUGAUAUACUAGAAAGCGCUGCAGUUCUAAAUAAUUUAUUUGGAUACAUUAAAUUAAAAGAUGCGCACAUUUACAACUUUUAUCUACUCAUAUAUAAGACGGUGAGAUUACCCCAAGCAUAAAAAAUAUUUUAAAAAAAUUAUUUAAAUAUAACUAAGCAAAUAUUCCGUAUAAAAUGUUGGGACUAAUUUGGGUAUAAAUCCAAGCGUUGUGUUGAGUCUCUGUAUUCAGUUCUAGCUGCAACAAUUGAAUUUAAGGAUAUCAAACAAAAUAUCGCAUUUAAAUGACUAAAAUACAAAAUAGAAAAAAAAUUAUAAAUAUUUAUUUUUUCACUUCUUUCAUUCAUACAUUUUAUACCUUCAAAAUUUCUGGUCGCUGCAUUUAGCUCCACAUUGUGAGAAUUACGUUAAUAUUUUAUCCAUUUUUUAUAAUUUAUACUGAAAAUACCCUUAAAAAAUAUUAUAUUAUAAUUUUAUAUUAUAUAUAUAUAUAUAUAAUAUAUAUAUAUAUAUAUAUAUAUUAUAUUUAAAAGUUAUUUUUUUAUGAAAUAAGUAAAAUAGAUUUGAUCAUUUCAAAAAAAUUUCUGAAAAUAUUUUAUAGUACAGUUUGGUAACUUGACACAACUAAGGGUCCGUUGGUUUAAUGUAAACCGUGAAAAAUAAUUUUUCAUAGAAAAAAUUUUCAGUGAAAAAAAAAAUUUAUAUUUACCCCGCAUUGUGAGAAUGACGUCAAUAUUAUUCUAUUUUUAUAAUUUAUACUGAAAAUAUUCUUAAAAAUAAUAAUAUAUAUAUUAUAUAUAUUAUAUAUAUAUAUAUAUUAUAUAUAUAUAUAUAUAUAUAUAUAUAUAUAUAUAUAUAAUACUAAUUUUUUUAUGGAAUAAUUUCAAAAAAAAUUCUGAAAAUAUUUUAGUACAGUUUGGUAACUUGACACAACUAAGGGACUGUUUGGUUUAAUGUAAAACCGUGAAAAAUAAUUUUUAGUAGAGAAUAAUUUUUAGUGAAAAAAAACUAUUACAUUUUUUAAUGCUUGGUCCGUAGAGAAAAAAAAUAGUUUUCCAUCAACAUUUGUUUGGCCAAAAGAAAAAAAAUUCACAUUUGUUUGGUUUGGUAAAAAAAAUCAAAUCAAAAAAUUUUACACAGCUUAAAUUUUUAUUUUUCGUCAAAAAACAGCAAAAAAUAAAAACUUUAAUUUUUCUCUAGUAUGUAAAAAUAUUUUUUAUGUAAAACUUUUGCGUCGAAUCAAACAAGUAAAAAGAUAUUUUUCAUAACGGAAUAAUUUUUUGAUUUAUUUUAUGCGGAAACAAACACGUCUCCUAACCAUAGUUAGUUAAUUCGGAUUCGGCAAAAAUUCGAUACGGAUAUAAUUCGGAUAAAAUUCGUCUUUUAAUUUUUAAAUUCGUUGAAAAAAACGGCUAAAAAACGGAUUCGGUAAUUAUUCGGAUACGUGAUUUAUUCGGAUAUUAUACGUUCACCAAUUAAAAAUUCGGGAUAAAAAAUUCGGCUAUAUAAUAAAUAUAUAAUAAUUAAUAUACUAUAAUAUAUUAUUAUUAUUAUAAUUUAUAUAUAUAAAUUAAAUAUAUUCAAAAUUAUAAUAAAUAUAUAUUAAUAAUAUAUAAGAGUUAUAUAUUUAGAAAUAUUAAUAAAUAAUUAUAAAUUUAUAAAUAAAAUAUUAUAUAAAUAAUCAUUUUAAUAUAUAAUAAAUAAUAAUAUAAUAAUUUAUAAAAUAAAAUUUUAUAUAUAAUAUAUAUAUAUAUACAUAUAUAUUUUUGGAUAUAAUGUGAGGGAGGUCCACAGUGGACCUCCCUCACAUGCGGUCCACGAGGCCAAAGUGGCCUCGUGGACCGCGCGCAUCCAUUGCCUUCAAAGCCCCGAUAUUUUUACUGUUCCGCUUUUCGCAUGGUUUCCGCGGACGACCAGGGCGGCGGAGGAGGAGACGAGUUCGGUACUUCGGCGACAACGCGACCCGCGAGGACCGCUGCCCUCUUGCUCCCGGCGCCGGCAAGGGCGGCGGAGGAGGAGGAGGACGACGGACGAGUUCGGCGACGACGCAACCUGCGAGGACAGCGACCGCGUGCGCCGAUUUUUUGGGCGAAUUGUUCGUUAAUCGCGAAUAAUUCGCGAUUAAUUUUUUUUAACGAAGAAAACGCGUUUUUUUACUAAUGUUUUGGAAAAAUACGAUAACCCCCGUUUAAUUCGCAUCUUCAAAAAUUCGCGAAUAAUUCGCGAAUUAUUCGCGAAUUUACUAACAUAGCUCCUAACCAAAUUGAAGGUUCCAGCAAUUACCUGAAGCUUCCAUUGCCACAAUCCUUGCUUGACACGUGGCAACAAAUGGACGGUGAGGAUUGGUUUGGCGGCGAGAGGAUCGAUCCCCAAACCAAUGGGGCAAUUAUAUUUUUUAAGUAUAUAUCCCUUCCGUACCCGUCCAACACGAGUGAGCUGAGACACGAGUGAGCUGAGACCGGCUCAUAUUCGGCCGUUCAUUAAACAAGUCAAACACGACCUGGCUUGAGUUAUAUUAAGUUCGCGUUUGAUUUAUUUAUUAAAGAACUGAACACGAACUUAUUCGCGAACAACAAGUUUGAUCGUCAAUUUUAUUACACGACCAAAAUUUGAAAAACAAAAAAUUAAAAAUUAGAAUCUUGAUCUAGCUAAUAAUUAAAAUGCAUAAAAUAUAAGUCUCUUUAUGUUUGUAUUGGCAUAAAAUCAAAAUAGUAAAAAUUUGCAAAUACAGAAAACUUUUAUAUAAAUACUUUUUAUAUAUUUUUUUUCUGAUUUCAAAAAAAUCUACAUUUUAUUUUCUUAAAAUUUCAAUAAUAUCUUUAGAAGAUUACGCCGUUGAUGGAGAGCAUGACCUAAUUCUGACGGAGGAGAGGUACUAAACAUUUAAAUUUUUUAAUGUCAAAAAAUACAAAAUAAAAGUACACCUCCCUCUCCCUCCUCAACUUUCAGACUCUAACGCCGUUUACCUCAGCCACGCUUCUUCUACUUGUUCUCUAUAAACGCGUGAUGAAAUAAAUUCCCCUACGCUUCUUACGGUUUGGGAAGAAACUGCCCAACUAUCUUUUAAGGAAAUGGGAUGUUGCCUGUGUGAGGGAGAAGAUUAAAUGCCAGCGUUGCACAUCUGAGCGACGGAGAUUAUACUGGUGCCAGCCACACGAUACACUAUUAGAAGGGUUGUUGCACCAUUUCUCAUCGCGUUGUUUCGUGGCGUUGCACUAUUAUUCCUGUUGCGAAUCGCGUAGUUCUUGUAAUGUAACUUCAGCAAAUUUAAUUUCUUAAAACCGAACAGCAAUCAUCAGGACUGGCGAAUAGCGGGACCAAUUUGGUCAAGAUUCCGAUGAGAGCGAGAUUGUGCAAAGCGCAAGGGACGUAUUUAGUGCCUGUCAGGACUGUACGUUACGGUAUACGUAUCUCAACGAAUACGCGAGAGGCGGAUGUAAACAACGGACAUUUUGGUUAGACGGCUAAAAAUCCGGUCCGAAUCUAUAAAAUUAAAAAAGAUGGUCCAUUCUUGCAAAAAUGCAAAACUAGUGAUUUUUUUAGCAAAUUGGCCCCCCAAAAAAUUAUAUUUUAGCUAAAUUAAAAAAAAAAAAAAAAAGAAGAUGAAAAGUGGAACAAAGAAGAGGUGUAAAGGAUACAUACAUGCAGGUGAAGGGAAUCGAACAUCCGCACGUGCGAAAAGUCGGCAACUCCGCGUAACGCGCGCCGCAGGCACGUGCGAAAAGUCGGCAAACCACGCAUCUGACGUGUGGAGAAGUCGGCAGUGUCGGUUUGGACGCGUUUUUUCACAAAUCGAUAUAUCUCAAAAGUCAAAUCCAACUUUAGAAGGAAAAAGGAAAAAAAAGAAAAAAAAAAUAGAGACUUAAAAGCUAAGAAAUUCAAAUAACUUAGAUCAAACUUAAACGGCAUGAAUCAUUACUUUGAUUAUUAAUUUAUUUAUUUUUGUCAAAAUCAAUAUGAAAGUUAAUUUCCAUGUUUACUUAUAAGGUGAAUUGCAUACAGCUCUACAUAAAUAUAUCAAAUAUUAAAUAUAUUUACAAUGUUUAGCUUCUCAUGCUUAUUCCUGCAAAAGUUCUAUCAUUUUCAAAUAUAUAUAAACCCGUUGUUAGGGUCUGUUAGAAACAUAUAGUUAAUUAUAAAUAAAAUAUUUAACCCUGGCAAGCGAUCAAACUAAAUUGACUAUCUGUCUUAUAUUAUUUGUGAUGUUAGAAAGAAAGAAGAUGACCGAUAAAAAUUUUUGGGAGAACAUUUCUACAUAAUUCUAACAGUUUGGGCUUUUGGAGGGACAUAUUUUUUAUGGCAAAAAUGUUAUCUUACUUCUCUUCUGUUAAAAAAAUAAACAGUGUUUUAACAACAACAAAUCAGAGGAAAAAAUAAAUAUCACUGAACUUUUAUAGGGAUAAAUAUGAAAUGUUGAGCUUUGUAGCAAUAUAUUUGCUAUUCAAUAUGUUUACAGAAAGCUAUAUGAAAUUAACCCUUACUUCUAAAUAGGGAUGUCGAUGUAUGAAUAUCUAAAAUUUUAUCCGGAUUUAUUGGAUGUUAAAUAGACGUGGUUUCGAAUAUGACUAUAAAAAUCAAAAACCCGACGGAUUUGUAUUUAGGCAUGAAUUUUGUCUAAAUCCAAUCCGAACGUAUAUUGAUUUUAUAUUAUAUAAUAUAUAUAAAUAUUUAACGUUAUAUUUGAGCUUGUAUUUUAAAAUUUUAAAUAUUACUGUAAAUCUCCAUAAUAAUAGACUCAUUAAUAAAAGUUUCAAUCAAGUUACUUUUAAUUACUUGUUGCUAUUUUUAUAUAUUUUGUUAUUUUUCAUGUCAUAAUAAGUGGAAUACACGCCCAGUCACUAUUAGGCUUCAUUGGGGAUUGCGGGAAAUUGCAUUACGUACGGUAAGAAAGUGCGAUAAAAAAAUAGCAUGUUUGUUUCCGUACGUAAUAUUGCACUCUGCAUAUUGCGAUGAGUCAAUUAUGAUAUAUUUUCUGUAGUCCCAUCGGAAAGCGCAGAAGUAUAUCCCUGUAUGCUUUUACCCCAGCUUUAUUUUAUCUAAUAGUAUUAGAUGAAUCUCAAUACUAAAUUAAGCCUUAAUCAAUAUCUUUUAACGGCUUUUAUAUAAAAUUAUAAAUUUAUUGUAGAUAGUGUAGAGAUUAAAAAAACAAAGUACAUUGUAGGAAGCAAAAGAAAUUUCAAAAUAUAGUAUAAUAUAGUGUAAUUAAGCCUACCAAAACUAUCUCUAUCAAGCUUUGAUUAAAACCGUCUCAAUCAAGCUAAGGUUGGAUAAAAUGUUGGGUAUUCGUAUCCAUCGACAUCCCUAAUAGGGAUGGAUAUGGAUCCGGGUUGGUGGAGUUUCUUUCUCGAUCCACGCCAAACUGGGGGUUACCUGGGAACUAAAAAAUAUAAAAAAAAAUAUAAUCCAUCCUGAACCCACCCUUAUCCAUCAAAUAAUUGAAGCAGAAGGCGAAAGAUUCCUUUCUUUUUUUGAUCCGUUUUGAUAUGCCAAAAAUCUGUAAAAAUUUCGCUGCUGUUAAAAAUCAAAAAUAGAAUUUAAGUGGGAACCAAAAAUCAGAUUAAAAUUAAAAUUAACCUGCUCUGAAUCUGUUCCAACCUGACAAAAAUAAAGCGGGACUUAGGGAACCCUCCCGCUCUCGGAUCUUUCCUGUUUGCAUCCUUAAUCCCUACAUAUCUACUUGCAUCAAUUUAUAUCCAACCUCGCUCACUCACGUGCCUCUCACGUGCCAACUCCCCUUUCCCCCCAUAUAAGACCUCGCACACACAUCCACCCACUUAGCCAAAUCUCUCUCUCUCUCUCUCCCUCUCUCUCUCUAGAGCUCUCCCUCUCUCUCUUAAUUUGUUGUAGUUUUGAAGCAAAGGGAGAAAUUAAUUGAAGGGAAAUAACAAUGGCAGAUGAUAGUACAGCAACAUGCAUAGAUAUCCUCCUGGCCAUCAUCCUCCCACCACUGGGAGUCUUUCUCAAGUUUGGUUGCAAGGUAUUGUAUUUAUGUAUUUAUGUAUGUAUAUACGGAGCCAGGCUGGUAUACUAUCGGUAGCACGGAGGUCUCCGUGCUAUCAAGUUGUUUUCAAUAAUACGGCUUCCAAAUCGACGAUCGGUUCCGUUAGGCUUGAUCUAUAUUAUUAAAAGUAUUUAAAAACUAAAUUUCAUAAUUUUUCGACAUCAUGUGGUUGAUGAUCAAAGGUCUCAAAAUUGACAAUUUUAAUGGUAGAUGUUAUGUGUUUGUGAAUUUAACGGUGUAAAACAAUCUAAAUCUGAUGAAAGUUUUAUAGAAAAUUAUUUUCACUAUUUAGAGUAAGAUCAGUAUUUCUGAUCUUAAAUUCAACUCUUUUAUCAUUAUUUUUUAUGAAAUUUUUAUUUUCAGUCGUUUAUUUUCAAAACUACUCGUUUGAUAGGUAAAUAAUAUCGAAAAAUUAUGAAAUUUAGUUUUCAAAUACUUUCAAUAGUGUAAAUCAAGUCUAAUGGAGCCAAUCGUCGAUUUGAAAACCGCAUCAUUGACAAUAACUUAAUAGCACGGAGGCCUCCGUGCUACUAAUAGUAUACCAGCCUAUCUGCAUAUACGUAUUGAGUUCAGCUACUAUGCUAUCAAGUGCUACCAAGUUUAUCAUCGUUAAAUCUAUCAUUUAAUCAUUUUUACCCGUUAGAUCAUACUAUUCAACUAAUCACUCACUCAGCCCUAGAGAAUCACUAUGAUUCUAACCGCGCAUCCUUUAAUUAAUCCAAUGGCCAAAAACAUAAUAGCACCAAUGACUUGUGCUGUUAAUUAAUAGUAUAGUAGCCUAAUUCUAUAUGUAUUCUUUAUUUUGUUGCAAAUUCAUACAGAGAUAGGUAGGUAAGGUAUUGUAUGUGUGCGUGCGUAUAUAUAGUACAUCUUUUAUGCUUUCGAAAGCACGAAAGCCUCCAUGCUUAUAAGUUAUUUCAAUGAUAAAAUAUUCGCUUCGGCGAUCGGCUCUGUUAGACAUGAUCUAUAAUAUUAAAACCAUAUAGAAAUUAAAAUUUAUAAUUUUUCGACAUUAUUUGUCAAGUAAUCAGAGGAUCUCAAUAAUGACUAUUUCAAGGCACGUUUGUAAAUUCUUCAAAUUAGAUACAGUUUCGAUAAAAUAAUUUACUUACCAUCAUGAACAAGAUGAAAGCAUUAAUCUUGUUCAUGAUGGUAAGUAAAUUAUUUUAUCGAAACUGUAUCUAAUUUUUCGACAUUAUUUGUCAAGUAAUCAGAGGAUCUCAAUAAUGACUAUUUCAAGGCACGUUUGUAAAUUCUUCAAAUUAGAUACAGUUUCGAUAAAAUAAUUUACUUACCAUCAUGAACAAGAUUAAUGCUUUCGAUUUGAAAUUAACUCUUUGUAUCACUAUUUUUAUGAGAUUUUUAUUUUUAGUCAUUUAUUUUGAGGUUACUCGUUCACUAUGCAAAGGAAUCAAAAAUUAUGAAAUUUAAUUUUUAAAUAGUUCUAAUUGCAUAUAUCAUACCUCAUGAAAUUAUUAUUUUUCGAUACAUUUACUAUAUAUUGAUCGAAGCAAUUCAAUGUUAAUAUUUUUAAUGACCAGUUAAUUAUUUUGAGUUUGCUGCUUCAAUAGUGUAGAAUAAUUCAAAUUAGUUUUUAUUUAAAAAUAAUCUGAAUUAUUUAACUAAAAUAAUAGUGUAUACCCCCUAUUUUUUGUAAGUUAUUUUUAAUUAAUUUUAACCGUUCAUUUUAUAAACCAUUUAGAGCUUAAAUCCAUCAUUAGUUAUUAGAUCGACUUUUUUUUAUUAUUAUUUUCAUGUAAAUUUCUCCUUACGAAUUUUAAAGGAGAAUAAUUCAUAUAUAUGUUUCUUUUUUAAAAUUUCUUUUUUUUUCCUAUUUUUUUUAAAAAUCAAGGUUGAGUUUUGGAUUUGCUUGCUCCUUACCUUUAUUAUGUAUUUACCGGGGAUCAUCUACGCAGUUUGGGUCAUCACCAAGUAAGUGAUUAAUCCCACCUCUCUAUAUAUAUCUUUUUUAAUUUAUUUGAUGUGUUUUAAAAUUAUUACUUUUGCAAAAUAAUUAAUUAAUCUUGUUUUUGCAGGAAAUAAUAAUAUGCCGUAAUGAAGCUCAUGGAUAUAUUCUUCUUCUUUUUUCUAUUUCUUGGUGAUGUGUAAUAAAUUGCAUGGUUUGUAAUUUGUUUCUUUAUAUUGCUUUUUUUCUUCUUUUUUUUCUUUUUUUUUGUAAAAUUGUUGUUUUAUGUGGGGAUGUAUGUGUAUGUGUGGUUAAGUAAUGGUACAAUUUUUCUCUGGUUUUAGGUGGUGAGUUAAAUGAGGCCAUUUAUUGUUUCUCUUUUGUGUACUAUUCUUUGGAAAUUAUUAGUCCUUGUUUUUGUUUGGUUUCCAAAGCAUCUUAAUUUUCUACUCAUGCAAAAAAGGGACAAAAAAAGUCUACAAUAUUUGAUUAUUUUAAUAAAAAAAGAUUUAUAAUUAUGCAAUUUGAUUUCACUUUAUGUAAUACUUUUUCUAUUCGAGAAGCAGAAGCCGAAUUCAAAAUAUCGAUUUAAUAAAAAUUUCUUAGAAUAUUUACGAAAUAUUUUGAUUUGAAGUGAUUGAUUUUUAAGUAAUAUUAUAAUAGUUCUGUUCAAACAACAUUUAUACAAAAAUUCUAUAUUAAAUGGAGCUUACCCGCUUAAUUUUUGCUAAGAUAUCAAUGGUUGGGAAAAGAAAAGUGAUGGAACCUCUCUCCAUCUUGGAGCAUGGAAUAAUUAAAGCCAACACCUUUAUUUUGCCAAGAAAGAUUUCAUGGAUGCACACUCCAUUAUUAUCAUAAAAAAUACUUUUAAAAAUCUACAUUUUGACUAUUAAAAUUUAAAAAUAUUUUUAAAAAGUUACGGUGUCAACAUAGGUGACGAAAUGAUCAGAUUAUCUUUAUUUGUUGCAAAGAAAAAAAAAAAAACCAUCUCAAAAGUUAUUUUUGGUAUGUCCAAUCAUCAAUUAUAGAAAAACAGAUAAAACAUUAACAGAACUCUGACGUCACAGGUCCUAAAUGCAUAGACUUAAAAUUUAGAGCUGAAAAAAUAUAGAUUUUUGAAAAUCGAAAGAGAAUUAUAAAAAAAGCAGGUAUUUAAAAAAAAAAAAAUUCAUAUAAAGUUUAGCCUUCUUUAUUUUUAAUUUCUUGGCCCCAUAAUGUCCUUUGGAGAUGGACUUGAUGAAUUGAAGGGUCACCAACCUCUUUAAUUGUAAUUAUAAUCCAACAAAGUAUUAAAAUGGUCCCAUUUUGUCUUUGUCCAUGGCCUCUCUUUCAAAAGGAAAGCUCACCCUCAUCUCUUUUUUUGCAUCAUGUGAUUCUCUUUUAAUUCUCAUAACUUCUUCUUCUUUUUUUUUUUACUUUUACUCCUUUUUAUCUUUCUUUUAAGACCUCUUUCUUUCCUCCUUUAUACUCCUUUAUCUUGUUUGCUUUUUGAGGAGUUUUAUAGAAGCUGAUCAUAUGAAAAGUCGAAGUUCUAAGUUCAAAACCUAAUUAUUUCAUAUUUUUAAAUUAAUUAUUUUUUAAAAUAAUAAACAAAAUAGAUAGCAUUAUGCCACUCUCACAUGCACUUUAUCUCGUGACUCAAAUAUGCACCUACUGCAAGAAAAUUUCAAACAAGGNAAAAAAAAAAAAAAAAAUCCUUUGUUUUAAUAAAAAUAUAAAAUUUAGGCUUAAUUAUAAGAACCUCACAUGCACUUUAUCUCGUGACUCAAAUAUGCACCUACUGCAAGAAAAUUUCAAACAAGGUCAAUUUUUUUUUACACUUUAGUUUUGGAUCAAAUAGGAACUAAUAAUUUUGGAAUUUCGUUAGCAUUUGAUGGAAGCAUAUAGUAACGGUGAUGACAUGGUAAGAUCAUAUGACACUAAAAACGCUUAAAAUCUCGCACAUGAAUGCUUUUCUAUGGUUUAUCUUAAAUUUUGAUACUUACAGGUGUACUUCAAAAAGCUUAAAGGAGCUUAAAAUAUGUUUACCUCAAAUACUACCCUUUAAAAUUGACCCAAAAAAAAUUCUAAGGAAGAGCCUAUUUCAGACAAACCUAAAGUGCAUGAUUGAUAUUGUUUAAUUUUUUUUUGUUUUUUUUAAGACAAAGGAGUAUUUGAUAUUUUUUUUUUUAUAUAAAACUCAUGAGUAAGUUAUACGGUUUGAAACUGAAGUUGUACUGUUUGAGAAGUUACAACUCAAUCUCAAAUAGUGGUUCAACUUAGCCACAGAGAAUGUAGCUUCUUCUUCUUCUUUCUUCUCCACUUCAUAGCCUUCCUACUAGUGGCCUAAUCGCCUUCCUAGAAAAAGAAAUAUAUUUCUUUUUCUUUUUUUCUUCUUUUCUUUCACCCUCUGCAUCAUUUUUCGCUACCGUGCCCCCUUCUCGCACUCUGUCGCAGCAGCCAACCCAGUCCCAACAUGUUCUCCCUCCUCGUCAUCCUUAAAUCUUGCGAUUCUCUUGUCGCCGUCACUAUCCACGACUGCAUCCUCCACCAUAACCUCAUCUUCGCGAUCUGUAUCAUAUCCAAGCCGGCAUCACUACCAUCGGCAUCGGCAAAGAUGCGGACGAGGUAGGAGAGAAGUGCAACGUCGAAAUAGGAACAGUAAAAAAGAAAGAGAGAGAGAGAAAGCGAGAGAAGAAAAAAAGGUAGAAACAGCGAGGAGCGUGAUCUAUACCAUAAGGAGACGGCGUUACCGCCACCAGCGACAACAGAAGUAUGGACGAAAUAGGAGAGAGACAGGCAGCAUUGACAUGAAGGCAAUAGGAGGAAGAGGAAGCGGAAGAACAGAGAGGAGAGGCGAAAAAAGGAGAAACGAAGGGGAAAAAAAAAAAAGGAUAUUUAAAUUAAUUUACUAAAAAUUAAGACCUAAUCUGCAAAAUUCAAAAAAAUAACAAAUUAUUACAAAAAAGUAAAACUUUGGUACAUUUUUUUUACGCAAAUUAGCCAUAUAAAUACCAUUUUUUUAGAUUAUAGUUAUAUUGGGACCAACCAUAGCACAGGUAACUUAAAAGUUUUUUGAAAGAUAUUCGAGACCCCAAAUACGAAAUCUAAUUACUUCACAUUUCUAACUAAGCUCAUUUCUAAACAAAAAUUGAACAAAACGAAUAACUUAAAGGAGAAUAUUUCAAAUAAUUUGCUUGAAUCAGAACCANAAAAAAGGAAAAAAAAAAAAAGAGUUAGAAGAGAAACUCAUAUCCUCUCCCAUGGAUGGGAACUGCAGAGAAAGGAGAAAAUCUCUCUCCAGAUACUAUAUUACUUUCUUUUCGGGCGAAUGAGUCUUAAAAUGUCAAAGACGCAAUGCCUGACCCAUGUCCCCAAUCAAAUUAUGCCCCAGGUUCACCCAUCACAUCUUAACUUUUUUUUUAAAAAAAAAUAUUAUACUUUUUUUCCCCAAAAAAGAUUUAGUUAGUUCGAGACAUAAAUGAUGUGAUGAAAUAUUCUAUUUUAAGCAAUCUCCCCUUAAAUCAGUGAAAAUAUGAACUACUCUGAAAAGAAUCUCUCUAAUACGUCGUAAACGACAUAACACAUCAGUUCAACCGCAAGAACAAGUAAUAAAGUCAAAUUGCACAGUUUAUCGAAUUGAGGCGAACCCAAGAUGAUCAAUUUGGAUACAAAAUCUCCGAGCCUCUGAGGCAAUUUCACAAAGAGUAAAAGAAAUCAUAAAGUUGCGUAAUCAUGUUUAAUUGAAAGUCUCGUCGACCAAAGGGAUCAGAAGAUUUGAUAUCCGGGGUAAGUUGAGCUCCCGAUACAUUGGACCGUAUGAGGUUUUGAAACGUAUCGGCCCGGUAGCAUUCAACUUGCCCUACCACCAAACUUAUCGAGUGUACACAAUAUUUUUCACGUAUUGGUCCUCUGAAAGUACAUCCACGAUCUGACUCAUGUGUAGAACGCUACAUCUUUGGAGCUAAGGGACAACUUGAGUUUUGAAAAGCAGCCUUUGAGGAUUUUGGCUCGCGAGGUGAAGAAACUGCGGAACCAUGAGAUUCCCGACGUAAAGGUGCUUUGGAGCAACCACGAUGAACGCGAGGCCACUUGGGAGUUAGAGAGCGCACUGCGGGAGCGCUAUCCCCAUCUUUUUCAGAUGGAGACUUGAUGUACCUUAUUUUCUGAGUUUCGCGGACGAAACUCCUUUUUAGGAGGGGUGAAACCAACUUAAUCUGUCACACCCCGAAUUACACAUUCCUCGGGCACACAGACAAAUUCGCCGUAUACAAAAAAAAAUUUUCUAUAUACGAAGCAAUAGUUGUACCUAUAAAACAUACAAUACUACAAACAGUAGUAUAGAGCUGCGAGAAGAACCAGUAACAAAAAACAAACUGAGUUUCAUAUACAUACGUCAAAUUCAAGAUACAAAACUACUCGCACUUGCGAGUUAAACGCCUGUAUGUACAUGAACUCCAACCAGAAACAACUACCUGCUAUAGGGGCACCUCUAGCUCGGCUCGUCUGGUGGGGCUCUAACUCGCGACGCCCUUGCCUCGAUCCUGAUCAGCAACAGCAGCAGCCAAAGACGAUGGCUCUGCAAAAACGGGGUAGCAACAGGGCGUGAGAACUACUGUAAAAACAAGUAGUCCUCAGUGGGUGCCGCCCUCAACAUCAUCGGUUCACCCACUAAGUCUACAGAAGGGAGCAAAGAUAUUAAUAAAUGCUGAGCUACAAGUUAUUACACUAUAAUGCUCUAAACUAACCUACUGUAGUGAUGUCAAUCUCAACCCAAUCUCUUUAGGAACUGUAAACAUACCCGUCCCAGGGACUGUGAAUACACCCGUCCCGCCCAGUUUGGACUGUCCAGCUACCUCUACACUAACCAGUCUGUGGAGAACAAGUCCAACCGGCAUGAACGACAUCAACGCGAAAGCACAGCGCCCGUCUCCUGAGUCGCACUCGUGAGAGCUACCCAACCGAGUAUACAGCGUAUCUCUGUCGAGCUAAAUCCGGCUCUCACAAGCCUAAGUCAAGUAACCGACUCUAACUGGUCUAACAACCAACAGGUCACGUGCCCUCGGCAUAAUCCGACACCUAAAUGGCGAUAUGGAUCCACCGUCAACCCCGACGGCAUCCAACAGUCCGGAGCAGUCUGAACGCUACUGUAAAACUACGCUAGGCAACCCAGCACAAGCGUAACUGAACUCUAAACUGCCAGGGGUAUCCAUCACACCAAUACUGCGAUGAUACAACUAGAGCUAAAUCAGGUAGUGUGAACAGGUGACAGGUCCAAAUCGCCGAUUUUCUCCUAAUUCAAUUUUCAAGUCCAACAUGUAUAGUUUAACUAGAUUCAGAAACAUGCUUCAAAUUCAGACUUCAGCAAAUAGGCUACUCAAUAAAUUUAAGCUAGUACAGAGUAUAAACAAUCGCAAACUCUACAUGUUUACUAAUCUCUACUUAGGAGUAAACUCGAUGAAAACCCACCUCAAAUACUAACUCCUAGCAGCGAAGGGAGUCUCGAACCAAUAAUAAUCCCUGCUGGAUCAAUUAAAAUCCUCCAAGUCCAAAAAUCGAGCUAUCUCCAAGCUCUACGCAUUGAAAUCCGUCAAUUCUGUCCAAAUAUAACAGCAGCAAAGUAAAAUAGGAGUUCGAUCAAGCUAACCUUCACCAAAUUCAACAAUCUUGGGCUUCGUGGAUUCCUCUCGAAGUUCUGAAUCCAACGAACCAAGUUUCGUUGCAAUCCGACACUCCUACGUCGCGCACGAGCCGAAACGCCGACUGUCGAUGCUGGAAUUCUGCAGGAACCGCACCCUAGCUCGAAAUUGAUGGAGCUUGAAGUAAAUAAAGUGAUUUCGAUGGAUCACUCACCUCGAAAACCCCUCUAGAACCGGCACAGCGUCGACGACGGCGAAAAUCCACACUCAUCCAGCCUCCUCGCAGCACCACGACGACGAAUACACGCUCGAACGGCACCGCGGCGCGACGUCGCCGACACCCGAACUCUACCCAAGCUCCUCCACUACCCACGUCCAGCACAAGGAGAAGAGAAAGAGUAAAAAAUCCUCUCCUCUGUUCUCUCAAUCCUAUAUAGAGAGGGAGAAGGAAUGGUAAUACAAACGAGGUAAAAAAGACUGAAUUACCCUCUCACCUACCACCGUGUACCGGUACACCUCCGAUGCUGUACCGGUACAGAAAGUGUACCGGUACAACCCUGAUGUUGUACCGGUACAACAAGCAGAGAAUCUGCAAUUCGCAGAUUCCAAUGCUAACUCCUGCUCUCGCGUCCCCGCUGAGUCCGUUUUGCGUCUAUUUCACGCCAACGAGACUCGGACUCGUCCCGACACCCUCACGGCGUGUCGACAAGUCUCAAAAGCUGAACACCAGGGAUACUAUACCCUCCCCCGCUACAAAAAAUUAUGUCCACUAAACUUAAGCAUACCUUAGCUCAAGUAUCAAACAAAUAGGGAUAGGACUCUCUCAUCACCGUCUCUAGCUCCCAAGUCGCCUCCCGCUCUUCGUGAUUACUGCACUGCAUUUUUACAUACAGUAUGACCGAUUGCGCAAUUCUUUCAUCUCCCGAGCAAGAAUCCGUAACGAUUGCUCCUCGUAUCUCAGAUCCUUGCCAAUCUCUAGUGGAGUGAAGUAGAUCACGUGAGAAGGAUCGAACACGUAUCUCCUCAAUGCCGAGACGUGGAAGACAUCGUGGAUACCGGUCAGUCGGGAAGGUAGAGCAAUCCUAUAAGCAACUGAUCCAACUCGCUCCAAUACCUCAAAAGGGCCAACGAAAUGUGGACUGAGCUUUCCACGUACUCCGAAUCUGCGAAUCCCUCUGGGCGGCGAGACUUUAAGAAAAACAUGAUCUCCAAUCUGGAAUUCUAAGUCUCGUCUCCUGGUAUCGGCGUAGCUCCUCUGGCGGCUCUGGGCUGUCAAAAGGUGUCGUCGAACAACUCUCACCUUUUCCUCAGCCUCUAGCAAAACCUCAGGCCCAAGCGUCUUCCUUUCACCCACAUCACUCCAACACAAAGGGGAUCGACAUCUGCGUCCAUACAACGCCUCAAACGGAGCCAUCUGGAUACUCGCUUGAUAGCUGUUGUUGUACGCAAACUUAGCCAGUCUCAAAUGUCGAUACCACCCUCCUCCAAAGUUCAGGACGUAUGCUCUCAACAUGUCCUCUAGAGUCUGAAUGGUCCGCUCUGACUGACCAUCUGUCUGUAGGUGAAACGCCGUGCUGAACUGCAAUUGUGUACCCAAGGCUGUCUGCAAACUCCUCCAGAAGUGUGAUACAAAACUCGGAUCCCUAUCAGAUACGAUCGAAAUCGGCACGCUAUGCAGCCUAACAAUCUCAUCUAGAUAUAGCUGCGCGAGUCUCUCUCUGUAUCAGGUGGUCUGAACUGGUAGGAAGUGAGCAGACUUAGUUAGUCUGUCCACUAUCACCCAAAUCGCAUCAUAACCACCCUAUGCUCUCGGCAAUCCCACGACGAAGUCCAUCAUGAUCUACUCCCACUUUCACUCGGGCACUGGCAGACUCUGAAACUUGCCAGCAGGUACCUGAUGCUCGGCCUUCACCUGUUGGCAAGUCAAACACUUAGCCACAUAUCUGCCAAUGUCCAUCUUCAUUCCAUUCCACCAAAAAUGUGCUUUUAAAUCCUUAUAUAUCUUAGUUCCUCCAGGAUGAACCGUAUAAGGUGAAUAAUGAGCCUCCCUCAAAAUGUCCUCUCGGAUCCCUGAAUCCACAGGUACACACAAUCGGUCCCUAUACCGUAGUACUCUCGAACUGUCCACAGCAAAACCCUCAGCCUGUCCCUGUCAAUCUGCUCUCAAAUCCUCGACAAGUGUGGAUCUCCACUCUAUUUCUCUCGGAUCCUAUCCAACAAAGUGGGCUGCAAAACCAUAGAUAUCAGUCUUGCAAUAGAUCCAGGGGACACUAUCUCGAACCUCAACCGCUGUAGCUCCUCGAGUAACGGCCUCUGCUGAGUAAUCAAUAAGCUCAAGCUCUGCACUGCCUUCCUGCCGCGCAUUGAAGAUCUGUUUGAUCAGCUGCAAGGAUUUUGUGUCUUUUCGAAGAUUGAUCUCCAGUCAGGUUACCACCAGCCGAGGGUGAGGGCCGAGAAUGUUCCCAAGACGGCUUUUCGGACUCGGUACGGGCAUUAUGAGUUUACGGUGAUGCAUUUUGGAUUGACGAAUGCCCCUGCCGCAUUUACGGAUUUGAUGAACAGAGUGUUCAAGUCGUUAUUGGAUAGAUUUGUGGUAGUCUUCAUCGACGAUAUCUUGAUAUACUCCCGGAGCGAUGCCGAGCAUGAGAAGCACUUGAGGAUUGUGCUACAACUUCUACGAGAAAAGUUGUAUGCCAAGUUAAGAAGUGCGAGUUCUGGUUACGAGAGGUUGUUUUCUUACGCCAUGUGAUUUCUACAGGAGAAGUAGCAGUGGACCCGAAGAAGAUUGAUUCUAUUCGGGAUUGGCCUAGACCGACGGCGGUGACUGAGGUGAGGUGUUUCCUGAGACUGGCAGGGUAUUACCGUCGGUUUGUGGAAGACUUUGCGAAGCUUUCCACACCCCUCACUCGAUUGACUCAAAAGGGGAUUCGUUUUGUCUAGAAUGAGGACUGUCAAAGGAGCUUUGAUGAGUUGAGACAGAGAUUGAUGUCAGCUCCUAUCCUUACCCUUCCAGUGAUGUAUGUGAAAGGAAGACGCUUGGGUCUGAGGUUUUGCUAGAGGCUGAGGAAAAGGUAAGAGUUAUUCGACGACACCUUUUGACAAUCUAGAGCCGCCAGAGGAGCUACGCCGAUACCAGGAGACGACUUAGAGUUCCAGAUUGGAGAUCAUGUUUUUCUUAAAGUCUCGCCGUCCAGAGGGAUUCGCAGAUUCGGAGUACGUGGAAAGCUCAGUCCACGUUUCGUUGGCCCUUUUAAAGUAUUGAAGCGAGUUGGACCAGUUGCUUAUAGGAUUGCUCUACCUUCCCGACUGACCGAUAUCCACGAUGUCUUCUACGUCUCGGCAUUGAGAAGAUACGUGUUCGAUACUUCUCACGUGAUCGACUUCAUUCCACUAGAUAUUGGCGAGGAUCUGAGAUACGAGGAGCGACCGUUGCGGAUUCUUGCUCGGGAGACGAAAGAAUUGCGCAAUCGGGUCAUCCCGUAUGUAAAAGUGCAGUGAAGUAAUCACGAGGAGCGGGAGGCAACUUGGGAGCCAGAGACGGUGAUAAUGAAGUUCUAUCCCUAUUUGUUUAAUACUUGAGCUGCGGUAUGCUUAAGUUUCGCGGACGAAACUUUUUAUAGUGGUGGAGGGUAUAGUAUCCCUGGUGUUCAACUUUUGAGGCUUGUCGACAUGCCGUGAGGGUGUCGGGAUGAGUCCGAGUCUCGUUGGCGCGAAAUAGGCGCAAAACGGACUCAGUGGAGACGCGAAAGCAGGAGUUAGCAUUGGAAUCUGCGAAUUGCAAAUUCUCUGCUUAUUGUACCGGUACAAUAUCAGGGUUGUACCGGUACACUUCUGUACCGGUACAGCACCGGAAGUGUACCGAUACACGGUGGUAGGUGAGAGGGUAAUUCAGUCUUUUUUAUCUCGUUUGUAUCACCAUUCCUUCUCCCUCUCUAUAUAGGAUUGAGAGAACAGAGAUGAGAGGAUUUUUUACUCUCUUCUCCGUAUGCUGGACGUAGGUAGUAGAGGAGCUUGGGUGGAGUUCGGGUGUCGUCGACGUCGCGUCGCGGUGCCUUUCGAGCGUGUAUUCGUCGUCGUGGUGCUGCGAGGAGGCUGGAUGAGCGUGGAUUUUCGCCGUCAUCGACGUUAUGCCUGUUCUAGAGGGGUUUUCGAGGUGAGUGAUCCAUCGAAAUCACUUUAUUUACUUCAAGCUCCAUCAAUUUCGAGCUAGGGUGCUGUUCCUGCAAAAUUCCAGCGUCGACCGUCGGCGUUUCGGCUCGUACGCGACGUAGGAGUGUCGGAUUGCAACGAAACUUGGUUCUUGGAUUCAGGACUUCGAGAGGAAUCCAGUAAACCCAAGAUUGCUGAAUUUGGUGAAAGUUAGCUUGAUCGAACUCCUAUUUUACUCUACUACUGUUGUAUUUGGACAGAAUUGACGGAUUUCGAUAUGUAGAGCUUGGAGAUAGCUCGAUUUCUGGACUUGGAGGAUUUCAGUUGAUCCAGCAUGAAUUAUUAUUGGUUCGAGACUCCCUUCGCUACCAAGAGUUAGCAUUUGAGGUGGAUUUUCAUCGGGUUUACUUCUAAAUAAAGAUUAGUAAAUAUGUAUAGUUUCCGAUUGCUUAUACUUUAUACUAGCUUAAAUUCACUGAGUAGCCUAUUAGCUGAAGUCUAAAUUUGAAGCAUGUUUCUGAAUCUAGUUAAACUAUACAUGUUGGACUUUGAAAUUGAAUUAGAAGAAAACCGACGAUUUGAACCUCUCACCUGUUUACACUACCUGAUUUAGCUCUAGUUGUAUCAUCGCAGUAUUAGUGUGAUGGAUACCCCUGGCAGUUUAGAGUUCAGUUACGCUCGUGCUGGGAUGCCUAGCAUAGUUUUACAGUAGCGUUCACACUGUUCCGGACUGUUAGGUGCCGUCGGGAUCGACGGUGGACCCAUAUCGCCGUUUUGGCGUCGGAUUGUGCCGACGGCACGUGAUCUGUUGGUUGUUAGACCAGUUAGAGUCGGUUACUUGACUUAGGCUUGUGAGAGCCGGAUUUAGCUCGACAGAGAUACGCUGCAUACUCGGUUGGAUAGCUCGCACGAGUGCCACUCCGGAGACGGGCGCUGUGCUUUCGCGUUGGUGUCGUUCAUGUCGGUUGGACUUGUUCUCCACGGACUGGUUAGUGUGGAGGUAGCUGCAUAGUCCCAACUGGGCGGGACAGGUGUAUUCAGAGUCCCUGAGACGGGUAUGUUUACAGUCCCUAAAGAAAUUGAGUCGAGAUUGACAUCACUACAGUAGCUUAGUUUAGAGCAUGAUAGUGUAAUAACUUAUAGCUGUAGAUUUUAUUCCAGCAUUUAUUAAUAUCUUUGCUCCCUUCUUUAGACUUAGUGGGUGAACCGAUGAUGUUGAGGGCGGCACCCACUGAGGACUACUUGUUUUUACAGUAGUUCUCACGCCCUGUUGCUACCCCCUUUUUGUAGAGCCAUCGUCUUCGGCUGCUGCUGUUGCUGAUCAGGAUCGAGAUAAGAGCGUCGCGAGUUAGAGCCCUACCAGACGAGCCAAGCUAGAGGUGCCUCUACAGCAGGUAGUUGUUUCUGGUUGGAGUUCAUGUACAUACAGGCGUUUAACUCGCCAGUGCGAGUAGUUUUGUAUCUUGGAUUUGACGUAUGUAUAUGAAACUCAGUUUGUUUUUAGUUACUGGUUUUUCUGGUAACUCUAUACUACUGUUUGUAGUAUUGUAUGUUUUACAGGUACAGUUAUCGCUUCGUAUACAGGAAAAAUUUCUUUGUAUACGGCAAAUUUGUCGACGUGCCCGGGGAACGUGUAAUCCGGGGCGUGACAGAUUAAGUUGGUAUCAGAGCUUAGCUGUAGAUCGUUGGGACCUAGGAACCCUAAGUUGGCAAACCUUAAGAAGGCAAGGCGCGAGAGGCGUGAUUUAUCGCGAAAGUCAAUGAUUCAUUGUUCUAAUUCCUCCUAGAGUGGAGAGAGUGAUUAGAGGAGUUCCUGUUUUGGCCUGGAAAAUUAUGUUGGCUGCAGACGACAUAAUUUUGAGAAGAAACCGGAACUGCCUUCUAGACUUUCAUCGGAUUAGGUCGAGAGUGUUUGUUUUGGUAUCUGACCUUGUUUUGUUCUUUGCAGCUAUGUAUCGUCGCCGAGGUCGACCGUCGCUCAGGGAUCGCGCCGCACCGCCUGAGAUGCCUGAGCAGGCAGAGCCGAGUGCACCACCAGAGGCCAGAGCAUCCCCUGAUUUUGGUGCACAGAUAGCCGCCCUGACAGAGGUGACGAGGCGGCAGGGGAAGUAGUUGGAGAGAUUGUGUGAGAGGGUGGUUCCGCCACAGGGUUCAGUACCGGGAGCACCAGAGCCGUCGGUUCCACGUCCGACUACCCCAGUGGCAGCACCAGCCGCAGCUGUACCCCCGCCAGUGGAUAUCCCCGCAGCGCCAGUUGCGCCUCCUAGAGGGCCGGUACCGAUGACUGAGGCCGAGCAGGAGCGGUUGACAGAGAGGUUGGCUCCUUACCGCCGUUUUGAUCCGCCGACCUUCGAUGGCAGUUGCACUGAGGUCUGGGUUGUUGAGAGCUGGGUCAGUGCGAUGGAGAAGCUAUUCGAGGAUUUAUUCAUUCUUGAGAGGGAGCAGGUAAGAAAAGCUCUCCAUCAACCAACAAAACCUCCACCAAAACAGCCUAAAAUUAAGAACUGAAUAUGAUGCUGCUUAGUUUGCCCAGCCUACCGAAACAGGGAUUCUGAUACAGAGUCACCAUAAAAUGGAGUCGAUAAUUGUGAAGAAAGAAAGAAACUUCUUCGGCUGCUCUCUUAAAAUACCAGUUCCACCAGAACUCACGUGCGCAGGAAGUUCAAGGCUUCCACAUUUUUAAUGGAUUAGUGCUGGAAAUAUAAGCGAGCCAACGAGAAUCAGUCGUGGGUACGUAACUGGAAUAUUGGUUCCACCAUAGGUAAGUUAAAAGGGAACAGUAGAUACGAAGAUUACAUAUGAAGUGAAAAGGUAAAUAAUUCGGGUUUAUAAGAGAGGUAGUGAGGAUGGGAAACUAAGAGAUGUAAAUUGAUUAGAUUAUAAGCCUCGAUAUACAGGAAGGAUAGAAAUAAGUACAGGAUGGUUCCAACUUCCAGUAAAAACGCUAGACAAGGAUGAGAGGAUUUUCUUGUAAAACCAGAAACAGGAGAGGGAAAGACAACUAAUAGAUACAUGCAUACAUAGUGGAAAUAAGAUUAUUAGUAACAAACGAUUUUGGAAGAACAUUGCUGAUGGAGAGGUCCUAAAUGGUGGUGAUGUAAAAGGAUAUUUAGGGAAAAGCAGAGAAAGGUUUGAGAAAAUUUGCUCAAUGCUACCCACUAUUUCCUCAAUCGAAUGCUCCGCUAUCAAAGAAGUGAAUUGUAUGACCAUAUAAUAUGUUGUAGAAUCUUUCCUUGAAAGAGAUGACAGCCUGUUUGAACGUCAGAAUAAGUUAUCUAAGGAUAAAAACAUAUUCAGUAUGAGUAUUUUCUUAUAUGAUCGGAAGCAAAGAGUUUGAUUUUACUUCUAAUUCGCCUCCAAGAUGAUUUUGUUUUGCAGAAAAAAUGAACUCAGAAGGUGGAAUGUAUUCCAUUCCAGUCAUUUGAUCGCACUUUUCAUCUACCAAACACUACAAACUUCUCGAGUAAAUCAAAGAAAUAUACUGAACAAUAUAUUAAUGCAUCCAAACAUGUCUAACGUGAUUUUUCUAGAACACUAUUUUGAACAUUCUCAGAGAAAUUUAAAAAAAAUGUGGAUAUUUUCAGGUCAAGUGUGUAGUGGUGGUUCUCGCAUGAUGUGAGGUGAUGUUUAUCAAUAAUUCUAAUCACAAAGAAUCUAGGAUUAGCAGAAACUCAAAAGCCCACCGACCAAAUUUUCCAGCACAAAAUUUUAAGACAUUUCCGAUUCGACACUGUAACUGAAUUUUCAGGGAACAUUCCCAUCAAAGCAAACAUGCUUCUCUAUCUAGUCUUUGUAAAGAUUUGCAUACACUAGCAAAUGCCGUUACUGGUAAAAUCUCAUCUCAAGUGAAUACGAGAUCUCGUAUAAACUAAAAAAGGCACGACGUCUAGUAAAAUUCAAGAAACCCAGCACCACUACAGCGAUCGGAUUUCGCCCUGCACGAAGUCUAUAUUCCUAAUCCUAUGAUACAUACUAUGAAAAGCAACAAUAACUAGCUAAGCAUGUUGAUUCACAAGAACACACAAAACAUACAAAAUUUGCGAAAGGGAAAUAGGGGAGGUCAUCGGAUAAAUGCGUGCGGCAAUUAACAGUGCGCGGCAAUUAACAGUGCGCGCCUCUAACUCGAAUUAUUCUAUAUAGAAAUCAUUAGACUGUAAAGGAAAGAGGAGCUCUUUUUCUAAUGUUCGCGGCACGCGUCCUAACAAGUCGAGUUCAUCCGAAUUAACAAGAAUCAUACUUCAAAUUAGAAUCUUGGAGAAAAUUAGAGCUCUGAAUCAGGAAGAACCUGUAAAUCAAGAACCUCCGGAGGAGCCCUUGAGCUCGCGCAAGGUCGACUCGAUGUGCUCGCGCAAGAGCUCCAACCUCUUCAAGUACACCUCCAACUCCAGAAUCUGCUGCUUCCUCCACCUCCCAUCCCCCAAAUUACUCACCGAACUGCCGCCACCGCCGCCGCCGCCGCCAAAACCUAGGAGGGGCCCUCCGAUGGCGGCGCCAACCAGCUCCUUGAACAGCAGCGGCGAGAGGUCCGACGCCGCUGCUGGCGUAGCCAGCGGUGGCGGUGGUGGCGGUGGCUUCGGAGUGGGAUUCUCCGCGGUCACCGUGAUCGGCACGGGCACGGGCACGGGCACGGCCACGGGCACGGGCACGGGCACGGGCACCGGAAUUGGAUCUUCGGCUGCUGCUGCUGCUGCUGCUGCAGCGGCGGUAGCUCUCCUGAGCCGCCGCUGCUGCCGCUGCUGCUGCCGCCGCGAGCGCGAGCGCGGCGGCUUGCGAUCGCUAUCGGAAUUGUUGAUGAUGGGAUUGGCGGGAUCGGGGUUGGGAUCGGAGGAGGGGGUCCAGAUGUUGCGGGCGAUCUCGAAGAGGGCCUGCUCGUGGGGGGAGCGGAAGGCGAAGGAGUCGGCGGCGGAGCGGAGGCGGGCGACGCAGUUGAGGUACUUCUUCUUGAGGCGGCGGAGCUUCUCGACGAGCUGGCUCUUGGAGAAGUCGAGGGGGAGCUGGCGCCGCAUCUCGUCGUAGAAGGGGCCCGUGUCGUACUGGUGCGACGCGAACGCCGUCCCCCGCCGCGUCGUGAACUCCGAGAACCCCCGCAGGAUCACCAGCUCCUCCUCCUCCGUCCACAGCCGCUGGAACAGCCGCCGCGCCUCCUCCGCCGCCGCCGCGCCGCCGCCGUGCGCACCCCGAUUAGGGUUAGGGUUACGGUUACGGUUAGGCUUAGCCCCCGACGUUGUCGGAGCACCAUCGUCGGCGUCGGCGGUGGAGUCGGUGUGGCGCUCCGCCUCCAUGGGCGACGCCGGCGGAGGUGGCGCCGCCGCCGCCGCCGCCGCGGGAAGAUCGUCGUCGGUGUCGUCGUCGUCGUCCUCCUCCUCCUCCUCCUCCUCGGAGUCGUCGCCGUCGUCGUCGUCGAACACGGCGCGCUCCUUCUCCUCUUCCUCGGCGGAGGCCAUUUUCUCUCUCUACGCUACUCUACUCUCUCUCCCCCUCUCUCUCUCUCUCUCUCUGCGCUCUAACUCUUAUACUGUGUGGAUAGGGUAAAUUUGGGGAUUUGGGUUCGGAAAAGAGAUGCAAAUGGAUAAGAAUUGGUGGAGCUCCGGAAAUAGAGAUGCAAAUGGAUCCGAAUUAGUGGAGCUGCUAAGUCGAUCCGUUGUGAAUGGGACAAGUAAAUAAAAAUAAAUUAUAUAAAAAUAUAUAUAUAAUUCACCCUUAAUCCAUUUCGAUGUGACAAGUAAAUGACGCGAUCCAUAAAAAUCAUGUCUCAAUCCAUUCCAAAUGAAAUAAUAAGUGAUGAUCAAAAAUAAAAUUAAAAUUAAUUUGUCCACCGUCGGAUCCGCCCUGUGGGAGUUGGGGGAUCUCUCCCGCGCUCGGAUCCGUCCUGUUUGCAUUCUAGUUUAAAAAUUGCGACUUGCGAUUUGACUCUUUAGCAAUAAUAAUUUAUCGAUCUAACCCAUAUUCAGUUAUUAUUACUAAGGUAAAGUUCUCUUUUAUAUAUAUACCCAAUAAGAACCUCAUUUUUAUCCUAAAAUUUUUUAAUUAGGGUUAAAUAGACGCCAUUUUUUCAUUAAUUAUACUAUAUAACACUAUUUUAUAUAUUUCUUUUUUGGCUUUCUUUACUGUAUUCCUUUUGUUUUUGCAAAAAGAUCAUUCAACUAUUUUUUUUUAAUUUUUAUACAAUAAACAAUAAAUCUAUAAUUUUAUAUAAAAUCUAUUAGAAUAUGCUGGUUAAAAAUAGCAAAAUGUAUAUCCGACUCAUUUUAACAUAAAAUAUAAUUAAAUAUAUAAAAAUAACAAAAAUAAUUUGAUAAAAGUUUUUGAUGAGUCUUUUAUGAAAAUUUAUUUUUUAUUUUGUCUACUAUUUAACUAGUGUCUCUUAAUAAAGUUAUUUGAUUUUGUUUAAAAUAAUAUCAACAAUGUAGAGAUUGACGAUCGAGAAAACAAAAAAAUUGCUUAAUUACAUCCUAUUACAAAUAAAUUUUAAUAAAUCGAACUGUAAAAUUUAAAUUUGGACAAAAUCAAAUAUAAACAGUAGAGUUUUAAUAGAAUAAAUUUGUAAAAUAAAUAUAGAUGUAGAGUUUAAAUUGAAUAAAUUUGUGCCAAAAAUAAACUAAAAUAGACUUUACACUUUAAAUUUCAAAUAGAAUAAAUAAUAAUCUGAACAACAGAUUUUCAAUUUGGACAGAAUAAUUUGAACCUUAUAGUUAAAUUAAAACAAAAUAAACAAAAUUUCAAUAGAAUAAAGGGUUUAGGGUUUAGUAGAAUAUAUGUCUUGUGAAGUAACAAUUUAUAGUUAAAACAAAUAAUUUUAAUCUAAAAGUUUCGUGCUUCCAUAACAAUACCUUAAUACAAGACUAGGCUGGAAUACUAUUAAUAGCACCAAUAACUUGGUGCUAUUAAGUUUUACACUAUUAGAUUAAAAAAUGUGCGGUUAGGAUGAUUUGGGCCCUCUAGGGUUGAGUGGGUGGUUGGUUAAAUAGUAUAAUCUAACGGAUAAAAAUAAUCAAAGAGAUUAAUCUAACAGCAGAAAACUUGAUAGCACCAAGUACUUGGUGCUAUCGAUAGCGUAGCGGCCGGACUCCUUAAUACAAUAUGAAUUAGAUAUUAAAUUAGUAGAAUAUAAUAUUAAAACUUGGGGCACUGUUACCUGUAUGCUUAUAUGGUGUACAUUUUACACCAUUCAUGUAAAGGUGUUAAAAGUUAAAAAAAGGAAAAACUUUAAAUACCAUCCCUGUGGUUUCGCACUUUAUCACUUUAGUACUUUAGUAUUCUGUGAUCUAAAAUGUAUCACUUCUAUACCCUGUGAUUUUAUUUUUUUCCUUUUGAUUAUCCCCUCUACUAAUUUUUUUUGUUAAAUUAGUGACAAAGUUAAAACUAAGAGAUACUAAAGUGAAUAUUAGAUAAAUUAUAGAUGAAGUAUCUGAAGUUUUUUAUAUAUAAUUUAACGAAAAAUUAACGGAGGGAGCGAUGGAAAGAGAAAAAUAAAAUCGUAGAGUACUAAAUUGAUAUACUUUAAAUCACGAAAUACUAAAAUAAAAAAAUAGAAAACUAGGUAGUAUUUAAAGUUUAUCCUUAA